GGCCCGGUAGCUCAGUGGACAGAGCGGCUCCCUUCUAAGGAGAGGGUCGGGGGUUCAAAUCCCUCCCGGGCUG
rnacentral:tRNA from 1 species